CCGGCCCCAACCCCCCCGGCCCCGCCGCGCCCCGCCGCGCCCAUGCGGGUGCCAGGCUGCAGACGCAGACCUCCGAGACCCGGGGAGGGCAGGUAUCAUUUGCACGUGCCUCUUGGUGUCUCCUGGUGGUCGUCAGGGGUCUCUGGAUGAAGGAUAUACUCUUCCUCACUGUCCGCUAGACACUGUAUGAAGAAUGACAUCAGCAUUGCAUACUCAUGUUGGAUGCUAUAAAUUGUGAUGUAUUUCCAACAAAUUGAGAACAUUUUGCCAAAGGAAACUCAGAUGUGUGGUAGAUUGGUCAUGAACUGCACACAGUUGCUGUUUCCUUUUCUUCUUUCACAGCAGAAGGUGUAAGGUGAUUCAUGGACAGAAAAAUCUGAUUUAAAAAAUGGCUGCUAUCUCAUUUUCUCCUGCUAAAUUGUUCAAAAUGUUUUUAAUGAAAUGCUUUUCACCUUGGAAGAAUUAUGGACAGGGACAACAAUUACUGUUUCUAAGCUGGUGUAAUAAAACACCGAUUUUAUUAAUAGUCUAAGGAAAAUACAGAAUACUUAACUAUAGGCCAAAUGGAUGAUAACAACAUGCAAAUGAAAAAGAACUGUCAGGUUAUUUUUUAUCAGUUUUGACAGAAGGCCAAAGUGGAGGUUGUUAUAAUGGGACGCUAUUGCAUAUUCUAUUUGUUACUGGGAUGAAAUCUGGGAUAUUGAAUUUAGUCUUUUGAAGCUAAACGUUUUUUCCUGAAUAUAAACCAGGAACAAUCUUAAAAUACCUCCCAUAGAAAGAGAAAAGAGUUUUAAAGCAAUGUUGUCCUAACCCUGUGUCCUGGUUUCAGCUGGGAUAGAGUUAAAUUUCCUUGUAGUAGCUAGU